UUUUCUCACGUAUUUUAUGUGUGCCUAUAUGCUAGUUAUUAUUUAAUAUAAUCUACUAAUAUUUAUUAUUAGUUAUCAUUUUCUGUUUUCUAGAAUCAUCUUCCACUUCCUCUGUCUAAAGCCGUUAUCCUUUACUCCGCCCAAUUCCACAUCUCCAUCUCUCUAGAACAAACAACUUUUUAGCUGAAAGAGAGAACCAAACUCAAACCUACCAUUUGCCAAGUUCUGUGAGAUUGGUUUUGCAGAACCCAAAAUCCCUGAAUAAAAAUCCCUCUAUCUCAGAAAACUCCAUUCGCCAUGGCCGUCGCCUAUAAAGCUCUCUCCCUCUAUUGAAAAUAGAUGUGCAGAAGACUAAGAUGAAGCUGUGGUUGCAGAUGGAAGUGGGCAUCGGCCAUGGUUGUCCGCCUGCCAAGUUCUCUGUCUUUGUCUACCGGCGAGGGCCCAGGCGAGCUCGGAGGUGAACGGACGACGGCAAGAGCAGAGAGAGAGCGCGACUUGAUUAUGGGUUCUUCGAGAUUCAAAACGAGCAGAAGAAGAGUUGGAGACUCUGGGUUCUCCGCGAUUCAAAACGAACGGACGAAGAGUUGGUGAUUCUGGGUUCUGGGCUUUGGGUUCUCUGCGAUUCGAAACGAGCAGACGAAGGUUUGGCGAUUCUGGGUUCUCCACGAUUCAAAACGAGAUGACUUGAUUCUGGAUUCUAGGUUCUCCGCGGUUCUGGGUUGGCGGGUGUAGGCGAUGUUGGCGAACCGAGCAGACGAGGUCUUAGCAAUCCCAUGGUAUUCGGGGUCUCGCUAAGACGUCCUAGUGAAGGAGAUAGUCCAUGUAAGUAACAAACAGGACUACACUAAUGUGUACUCCAGUCUAGGAAGGAUUAACGAGCCUAAAUAAACGCACCCUAGUAUCGUUAGUAUUGGUUCCUAAAUGUGUUACCUUAUGGAGCAUUGAUCCUUUUCAAGUAAUUCUAGAUUAGAAUUUCCAUUCAAAA